GAAGAUGGUGUGGACUAGAUCAUUCAUCUUGAUACUGAUGAGCUAAUGCAUCCAGCUGGAACUAGUGAGUAUUCUUUACGGAGACUUAUGGCAGAUAUACCUGAAGAUGUUGACAUGGUCAUAUUUCCUAACUAUGAGAGCAGUGUUGAGAGAGAUGAUGUGAAGGAACCUUUUAGUGAAGUCUCGAUGUUCAAGAAGAAUUAUGACCAUCUCACAAAAGAAAUGUACUUUGGAAACUACAAGGAAACAACUCGUGGUAAUCCUAACUACUUUUUGACUUACGAAUAUGGCAAAUCAGUUGCUUGAGUUCAAGAUCAUCUUCGUCCUAAUGGUGCUCAUAGAUGGCACAACUACAUGAAAAGCCCAAAGUGAUCAAAUUUGAAGGGUCGCCACAAGUCAAUUUGAUCUCAUUGAAGUGGAAGUGGAUAAUGAAGAGUUUUUUAACUAUUGUAAAAAUUUGAAUACAUUAUAUAUGAUUUUGUGAAAUAUAUUCAUUGCUAGAAUAUAUUGAACUAUUGUAAGAGUACUUUUUGAACUAUUGUGUACACAUAUUUAGAAUAUUGCUUUAUAAGUAUGUGUAUGGACACAAAACAUACUAUCUUUUGAAGUUUA